AGGGUAAUUGCUUAGUGCUAAAGUACAUGCCUAGAAUGCAUGAGGUCCUGGGUUCAAACCCCAGUACCUCCA
rnacentral:tRNA from 1 species